GUCUAUGGCCAUACCAUCCUGAAUGUGCCCAAUCUCAUCUGAUCUCAGAAGCUAAGCAGGGUCAAGCCUGGUUGGUACUUGGAUGGGAGACCAUUCCCAUAGCAGUAGUCCUGACCU
rnacentral:rRNA from 1 species